GAUUGAACGCUGGCGGCAGGCCUAACACAUGCAAGUCGAGCGGAUGAAGGGAGCUUGCUCCUGGAUUCAGCGGCGGACGGGUGAGUAAUGCCUAGGAAUCUGCCUGGUAGUGGGGGAUAACGUCCGGAAACGGGCGCUAAUACCGCAUACGUCCUGAGGGAGAAAGUGGGGGAUCUUCGGACCUCACGCUAUCAGAUGAGCCUAGGUCGGAUUAGCUAGUUGGUGGGGUAAAGGCCUACCAAGGCGACGAUCCGUAACUGGUCUGAGAGGAUGAUCAGUCACACUGGAACUGAGACACGGUCCAGACUCCUACGGGAGGCAGCAGUGGGGAAUAUUGGACAAUGGGCGAAAGCCUGAUCCAGCCAUGCCGCGUGUGUGAAGAAGGUCUUCGGAUUGUAAAGCACUUUAAGUUGGGAGGAAGGGCAGUAAGUUAAUACCUUGCCGUUUUGACGUUACCAACAGAAUAAGCACCGGCUAACUUCGUG
rnacentral:rRNA from 1 species